ensembl:lincRNA
NNAGGGCGGACCCGCGCCGGGGCCACUAACGGCCUGUCACUGUCAGGCCAGCGGCACCGCGGGCCGCGCCUGGCCAGGCCGGUCGGCACGAGACAGGGUGGGCAGGGCGCGUCCCCUACCUUGCUCUGGGGAGGGGGGACGGGAGCAGCGCAGAACUGAGGGGUCUCCUCCCAAGCACCGGGGACGGGGCUCGAAACCGCGCCCCUCCUUCCUCCUCGCCUGUCGCCACGCCCCCCUCACCCUCACGGACCCGAGGCACGAUCGGCGCAGGAGGGUUUACCCCCUGAAUGAGUGCCUCGGUGUUGCCGUCGCUGUCGUUGUCUUCGUCGCCGCUGCAACCGCCACGAACGCCGCGGAGGCCGGGCUUGAAAACAUCUCCGGUCUCCGUCCGUCUCUCACCACAGCCUCCUCGCUCCCAGGACAGCGCCGCCCAGCGAUUGGCUGCGACGCAAGCACGUGACUCAGCGGGCACGGGACGGGCGGCGUGACCGCCCCGCCCCCAGCGCCCGCCCGCCCCUUCCGCCGGCCCCUCCCCGCUACCGAGCCGCUCUUUCAGUUCUGUGGAGAAGCUUCCCGAGCCGCGGGGCGGAGGAGUCGGAAGGUACCAAGUGAGAGGCGGCGGGGGUGCAGGCCGGAACUCCUCUUUCGUUGCUUGCUCUCUCCCCUCCACCCAGGUGUCGCCGUCUCCCUCAGCCGUCACCGGCCCGAAAACAGAAGGGGAAUUGAGAUGCUCAAGAAAGCAGCUCUGGCUCGGCUGACGCUGCGGGGCCAGAGGGCUCUGCAGUCUCUAUUUGUGGCGACCAUGGCCGUGGAUGUGACUGGAAACUUCUGGAAAUGGCGGCGACGGCGGCGAAGAGGCUGAACACAGGGAAACGCUCGCUCUCCAAGCUUUCAACACGCAAGCCGGAGCCAACAAUUUCAGAGUCCUCUCCAGUGCGCUGCAACCUGACAGCAACAAGGUCGCCAGGCUUGAUCCUCAAGGUGCCUCCUCGGUGGGCGGGGGGCGGCAGGGGGCGGCGGAGGGGGGGGUGGUCUUAGAAACCUAUCUGGCCCACGCAGGCCAGGCCUCUGUUCUGCGCUGCGGCGAAACGGCAACAAACAGACCACCGGGCGGCCCCUCCUUCUUCCUCUCCUUGACCACAUUAGGCGUUAACUUCCCAAACCUGUGGGGGAGGCCACGCACCCGCCGCAGCUACGUCUGCGACCCUCCCUCGGAGCUCCUGGCUCGCCGUGAAGCUGUGGCGGCCUCCCUGGGAAAGGGCGAAGGCCGCAGUGUCCUUGCCACCGCCUGCAAGCCGUCCAGGGCCCAGCGCUCUCGUUGCCCACCACAAAAAGAGACACCGAGAAAGAUGAAAGGGCGGCGGCAGUGCCGGGGCUCAUUCCGAACCUCCUUACCCACUGGGCCGUGAGACCAGCCGCCUUGGCCCGGAGCGCCGCGGAGAAGAACAUGGCGGACCAAACCGUUGGCCUUUCCCUGCGGCACCAGGCGAGAAUCCUGAGCGAGCCUUGGGACGCACGGCGUGCGCGCUCCCGACCCCAGGCCUAGGGAGUCUGGGGCGGCGGGGACGCGCGGAGGCUCGCGAGGGCUGCUGGGGCCCAAUGGGCGGGGACUUCCUCGGCCGGGGCAGGGCGAAGGCCCGCGAGGUCCGUAAAAGGCUGGGUUGCACAGACUGUGGCUGGGGUCUCAACCUUGAAAGGAAGAGACAGUGAGCUGUUCUUUGGGCUUUUAGGGAAUGUAACGCCGAUCUGGAUUUAUGAGGUGAGCUUCCCCCCCUGGAGAGCCUUUUGGGGAUUUAACCACCUACUUUUUUUUUUUUUUUUUAAUCGUGGUUACUUAAAAAAAAAUUCCGUUGUAACCUCUUGUAAAUCAUGUAUUACAAGUUAUAUGAAGUUAUAUGAAGUUAUAUGAAGAUGUAGAAGACUGUCACCGAGUGAGGUAGACACUAAAUGCCUUUUGCUUUAGAGAUGUGUGCUGACAUAUUUAGGGGCGAUAUAAUAUAUCUGGAAUUUGCUUCAGAAUAAUGGAAAUGAAACAAGAUUGGCCAUGAUUAAUGACUGUCGAAGAUGCGGUAGUUCUCAUGACUAUUUUCAGUACUUUUGUACAUGUUAGAAAUUUUCCAUAAUAAAGCAAGAAAAAAAAACACCUUCUUGAUGUUUGUUUGAUCACCUCUGGAAAUUCCAACAAGUAUUUACUCAGUAACAGCUGUAAUAUGCACAGUGCUGUUUCCUGCUGUGUAGAGUUUACCAAGCACUUUACUGCCUUUUGAUUUUUCCCUUCUCUGCCUUCCUUUCUUGUGUGUCAUGUCCUGUACCACCCCUUCCUUUUGCCCAUUUUCUUUGCUGAACUUAUGAAAGAUUUCUGGAACUUUCACAGCAGUAUAGGGAUUUAAAAAUUUUAUUCUUCAUUAAUUUAAAAACUCUGAAGUAUUCCAUUGCAACCACAUAUGAAUCAUAUUUUACGAAGUAUGAGAUUCAAGUUACAAGAAGGCUCCCAGCCAGUGAGCUACAAAUAGACACCAAAUGCCUCCAUUCCCAUUUCUUUGCUUAUCCCUUAUAUUAGUCUGCUUCUCCUAAAUUGGUUUCACUAUUUACAUUUAAAAGGGUAAAAUAUUCUGGGUCUCCAUGCCGAUUUAAAUUAUUGUAUUAUAAGGGUAGCUGACUGGCUCAGUCAUAGGAGCAUGUGACUCUUGAUCUCAGGAACAUGAGUUCAAGCCCCAUGUUGGGUGUAGAGAUUACUAGAAAAUAAAUUUUUAAAAAUCAAAAAAAUUGUUUAAAAAUAAAUAAUUAUUGUAUUAUAAAUUCACCUAAAUAUAUAUACACCCAACACUAUUAUACACAUAUCACUGUGUCUUAUACAACUAAAACUAAAGUAUGU